rnacentral:rRNA from 1 species
UACGGAAGGGGCUAGAGUUGUUCGGAAUUACUGGGCGUAAAGAGCGCGUAGGCGGCUUACCAAGUUGGGGGUGAAAUCCCGGAGCUCAACUCCGGAACUGCCUUCAAAACUGGUAGGCUCGAGUCCGGCAGAGGGGCGUGGAAUUCCCAGUGUAGAGGUGAAAUUCGUAGAUAUUGGGAAGAACACCGGUGGCGAAGGCGGCGCCCUGGUCCGGUACUGACGCUGAGGCGCGAAAGCGCGGGAAGCAAACAGG